ACGAACGCUGGCGGCGUGGAUAAGACAUGCAAGUCGAGCGCUGAUUUCAGAGUAGCAAUAUUCUGAAGUCGGAGCGGCGCAAGGGUGCGUAACACGUGGGUAAUCUGCCAUGAAGUUGGGGAUAACUCGCUGAAAGGCGAGCUAAUACCGGAUGUGAAAAUUGAAAGGCAUCUUUUGAUUUUUAAAGUUGGGGAUCGUAAGACCUGACGCUUCAUGAUGAACCCGCGGCCUAUCAGCUAGUUGGUGAGGUAACGGCUCACCAAGGCUAAGACGGGUAGCUGGUCUGAGAGGACGACCAGCCACACUGGAACUGAGACACGGUCCAGACACCUACGGGUGGCAGCAGUCGAGAAUUUUUCACAAUGGACGAAAGUCUGAUGGAGCAACGCCGCGUGAGUGAAGAAGGAUUUCGGUUCGUAAAACUCUGUUGUAAGGGAAGAACAAGUACAGUAGUAACUGGCUGUACCUUGACGGUACCUUAUUAGAAAGCCACGGCUAACUACGUGCCAGCCGCCGCCGUAAUAC
rnacentral:rRNA from 1 species